AUCAGGUUGAAGGUAGUAUAGUUGACUACCUUGCCGCUGACGGGUAACGGGGAAUUGGGGUUCGAUUCCGGAGAGGGUGCCUGAGAAACGGCAACCAUGACUACGGUCAGCAGCAGGCGCGCAAAUUGCCCAAUGCCAAUAUUGGCGAGGCAGCGACGAAAAAUAAUAACUUUGUUGUGCAGUUGCACAUCAGAGAUUGCAAUGAGCUGUAUCUACAAAUACCGACGAGGAUCCAUUGGAGGGCAAGUCUGGUGCCAGCAGUUGCGGUAAUUCCAGCUCCAAGAGCGUAUAUAAAUGUUGUUGCGGUUAAAAAGCCCGUAGUUGGAUUUGAGGGCAUCGCCUGUGGAGGUCGCCCCCGGCUCGUCCGGAGUGCUCAACCUUCACGCUGUGGCGGUGUCCUGUUUGAUGCGGGAACGGAAACCCCGCCAAGGUCCUUCGGGGCUUUGGCGACCUCGGAGUCAUUACGCUCCAAUGGUUCGCCCGCAGUCGUCACUGUGAGUAAAACAGAGUGUUCAAGGCAACUAUUUGUCGCGUUGAACGUCAAAGCAUGGAAUGACAAGGGAUCGACCGCUUGAGGCCUUCUUUGUUGGUUUUUAACCUUCAGUGAGGUAAAUCUGUGGAAGAGAUUUCUGCUCCAAGUCUCGUGCUUGGAGUGGGACUCUUUCACUCACGGGAUCAAGAGGAGCACAGGGGGCCGUGAGUACUGGAGGGUGAGUGGUGAAAUACUGAGACCCCUCCAAGACUGACAUCAGCGAAAGCACUCGGCUAUUGUGCUUUCAUUAAUCAAGGACGAGAGAAAGGGGAUCGAAGAGGAUUAGACACCCUCGUAGUCCUUUCCUUAAAUUCUGCAGACUUGGGAUCGGUCAGUGCUCCCUUUCUUGACCUGAUCGGCACCUUCCUUCCCUUCUGAGAAAUCAAAGUUUUUGUGUUCCGGGGGGAGUACAUUCGCAAGGCUGAAACUUAAAGGAAUUGACGGUGAACCACCACCAGUCGUGGAUUGUGUGGCUUAAUUCGACACAAUACGGGGAAUUUUACCAGCACAGGACACGGUCAGGAUUGCCAAGUUAAAGCCUUUGCUUGAUUCCGUGAAGGGUGGUGCAUGGCCGCUUCUGGUUGGUGAACGUGAUUUGUCUGCUUAAUUGCGAUAACGAACGAGAUCUCUGCCAAUUACUAGAGACCGCUUUCACUGUAAGCUGUCGUGUGGUUGGAGUCUU
rnacentral:rRNA from 1 species